ACGCUGGCGGUGUGCCUAAACACAUGCAAGUCGAACGGAACUGUUUUGAAAGAUUUCUUCGGAAUGAAUUUGAUUUAGUUUAGUGGCGGACGGGUGAGUAACGCGUGAGUAACCUGCCUUCAAGAGGGGGAUAACAUUCUGAAAAGAAUGCUAAUACCGCAUGAUAUAUCGGAACCACAUGGUUUUGAUAUCAAAGAUUUUAUCGCUUGAAGAUGGACUCGCGUCCGAUUAGUUAGUUGGUGAGGUAACGGCUCACCAAGACCGCGAUCGGUAGCCGGACUGAGAGGUUGAACGGCCACAUUGGGACUGAGACACGGCCCAGACUCCUACGGGAGGCAGCAGUGGGGGAUAUUGCGCAAUGGGGCAACCCUGACGCAGCAACGCCGCGUGAAGGAUGAAGGUUUUCGGAUUGUAAACUUCUUUUAUUAAGGACGAAAAAUGACGGUACUUAAUGAAUAAGCUCCGGCUAACUACGUG
rnacentral:rRNA from 1 species